UACGUAGGGGGCAAGCGUUGUCCGGAAUCAUUGGGCGUAAAGAGCGUGUAGGCGGCCCGGUAAGUCCGCUGUGAAAGUCCAGGGCUCAACCCUGGGAUGCCGGUGGAUACUGUCGGGCUCGAGUCCGGAAGAGGAGUGUGGAAUUCCUGGUGUAGCGGUGAAAUGCGCAGAUAUCAGGAGGAACACCAAUGGCGAAGGCAGCACUCUGGGACGUGACUGACGCUGAGACGCGAAAGCGUGGGGGAGCAAACAGG
rnacentral:rRNA from 1 species